GUGGCCAAGCGUUUAGGGGCACGUGGUGGAUGCCUAGGCGCCGGAGGCCGAAGAAGGGCGUGGCAAGGCUGCGAAAAGCCUCGGUUAGCUGCCAAGCUAGCUUAGCCGGGGAUUCCCGAAUGGGGUAACCCAUCGCGGUGUCAAGCCGCGAUACUUCCCCCUCUGGGGGAAGAGGGAACCGGGGGAACUGAAACAUCUUAGUACCUCGAGGAAAAGAGACUAUUCCCCUAGUAGUGGCGAGCGAACGGGGAGGAGCCCAAACCGGGCGGGAGGGUAACGGCCCACGGGCUAUUGCCCGCCCGGGGUUGUGGGACGCAGGCGGGGCCGGCCGUGGCAGGCCCGAGGAGUUACAAAGGCCUACCCUAGCCGAAGGACCCUGGAAAGGGCCGCCACAGAGGGUGACAGCCCCGUAGGCGAAAGGGGGAGGCCCUCCUUGGCCUGUGCUCCCAAGUACCACGGAGCACGUGAAACUCUGUGGGAAUCUGGGGGGACCACCCUCCAAGGCUAAAUACCAUCCGGCGACCGAUAGUGCACAAGUACCGUGAGGGAAAGGUGAAAGAGGACCCCGGGAGGGGAGUUAAAAGAUCCUGAAACCGCGUGCCCACAAACCGUCGGAGCCUGGGGCGCAAGUCCUGGGUGACGGCGUGCCUAUUGAAGUAUGAGCCGGCGAGUGGAUCUUGGUGGCUAGGUUAAGGGAGGAGACUCCCGGAGCCGUAGCGAAAGCGAGUCCGAAGAGGGCGCCGCCCCCUAAGGGGCAGGUCGCCGGGAUCCGGCCCGAAACCGGGCGAGCUACCCAUGGCCAGGGUGAAGCGUGGGUAACACCCGCGUGGAGGCCCGAACCGGUUGGCGGUGCAAAGCCAUCGGAUGAGCUGUGGGUAGGGGUGAAAUGCCAACCGAGCUCGGAGAUAGCUGGUUCUCCCCGAAAUGCAUUUAGGUGCAGCCUCAGGGGCUCGCUGGCGGAGGUAGGGCUCUGGAUGGGCUAGGGGGCAACCAAGCCUACCAAACCCAACCAAACCGCGAAUGCCGCCAGAAGACGCCCUGGGAGUGAGCCCGUGAGGGAUAAGCUUCACGGACGAGAGGGGAACAACCCAGACCGCCAGCUAAGGCCCCCAAAUGCGGGCUAAGUGGUGAAGGAGGUGGGGCGGCAAAGACAGCUGGGAGGUUGGCUUAGAAGCAGCCAUCCUUUAAAGAGUGCGUAACAGCUCACCAGUCGAUGUCGCCCUGCGCCGAAAAUGUAACGGGGCUUAAGCCCGCUGCCGAAGCUGCGGGCCCGUAAGGUCCUUGGGCCUUAUGGGCGGUAGGGGAGCGUCCUGGCCCGCGCUGAAGGUGGGCCGCAAGGUCUGCUGGAGCGGCCAGGAGCGAGAAUGCCGGCACGAGUAGCAAGAGGCAGGCGAGAAUCCUGCCCACCGAAUGGCCAAGGCUUCCUACGGAAGGGUCGUCCGCGUAGGGUUAGGCGGGACCUAAGGCUAAGCCACACAGGCGAUGCCGAUGGAUAGCCGGUCAACAUUCCGGCCCCACCGUCCCGGCGCUACGAGGCAGAGGGGGGACCCAGGAGGGUAGGUCGGGCGGGCCUAGUGGACAUGGUCCGUCCCUGGGCCGUAGGCGUCUGGGGGUAGGCAAAUCCGCCCCCAGGUUAAGCGGAGGGCUCGGGGCGAGGGGAGACUACGGUCAAGCCGAGCCGACCGAGCCCACACUGGCUAGAAAAGCCUCGCUGCCCAGCCGUGGCGGUGCCCGUACCGGAAACCGACACAGGUGGCCUGGGGUAAACGCCCUAAGGUGGACGCGUGAUCCCCCGUCAAGGAACUCGGCAAGUUGGCCCCGUAACUUAGGGAGAAGGGGUGCCCUCUGGGGUGAAGGCCCUUGCGGCUGGAGCUCUGGGGGGUCGCAGCGAAGAGGCCCUGGCGACUAUUUAACAAAAACACAGGUCCCUGCCAAGGGGAAACCCCAAGUAUAGGGGCCGACGCCUGCCCAGUGCCGGAAGGUUAAGGGGAGGGGUGAUGAGCCCCAAACCGAAGCCCCGGUGAACGGCGGCCGUAACUCUGACGGUCCUAAGGUAGCGAAAUUCCUUGUCGGGUAAGUUCCGACCCGCACGAAAGGCGUAACGACUGGGGCGCUGUCUCGACGGGGGGCGCGGUGAAACUGCAGGGCCUGUGAAGAUGCGGGCUACCCGCGGCGGGACAAGAAGACCCCGUGGAGCUUUACUGCAGCUUGGCGUUGGCGACGGGCCAGGGAUGCGUAGGAUAGGUGGGAGGCUGAGAACCUCUGGCUCUGGCUGGAGGGGAGCCGUCGGUGAAAUACCACUCUUCCUUGGUCUAUCGCCUAACCUGCAAGGCAGGGACAGCGCCUGGUGGGCAGUUUGACUGGGGCGGUCGCCUCCUAAAAGGUAACGGAGGCGCCCAAAGGUCCCCUCAGGCUGGAUGGCAAUCAGCCGUUGAGUGUAUGGGCAGAAGGGGGCUUGACUGCGAGGCCUACAAGCCGAGCAGGGGGGAAACCCGGGCCAAGUGAUCCCACGGCACCUUGUGGGAGGGCCGUGGCUUAUCGGAUAAAAGCUACCCCGGGGAUAACAGGCUGAUCGGGCCCAAGAGUUCAUAUCGACGGCCCGGUUUGGCACCUCGAUGUCGGCUCGUCCCAUCCUGGGGCUGGAGAAGGUCCCAAGGGUUGGGCUGUUCGCCCAUUAAAGGGGCACGUGAGCUGGGUUCAGAACGUCGUGAGACAGUUCGGUCUCUAUCCGCGGUGGGCGUUGGAGGCUUGAGGGGGGCUGGCCCUAGUACGAGAGGACCGGGCUGGGCGGACCUCUGGUGUGCCGGUUGUCCCGCCAGGGGCAAAAAGCCGGGUAGCCAUGUCCGCACGGGAUAAGCGCUGAAAGCAUCUAAGCGCGAAGCCCUCCCCAAGACGAGGCCUCCCACCCCAUUAAGGGGGUAAGGCCGCGGGAAGACUACCCGCUUGAUAGGCGGCAGGUGUAAGCCGGGCAACCGGUUGAGCUGAGCCGUACUAAUGGCCGAGGGCUUGGCCAC
rnacentral:rRNA from 1 species